rnacentral:rRNA from 1 species
ACGCUCGACACCUACGGGAGGCAGCAGUGGGAAUAUUGCACAAUGGGGGAAACCCUGAUGCAGCGACGCCGCGUGAGCGAAGAAGUAUUUCGGUAUGUAAAGCUCUAUCAGCAGGGAAGAAGAAAGACGGUACCUGACUAAGAAGCCCCGGCUAACUACGUGCCAACAGCCGCGGUAAUCUGAGCGGGCUGGCAAGGC